rnacentral:tRNA from 1 species
GUGGUGGUUAGUUCAGUGGUAGAAUCCUUGUCUUCCAUGCAGGAGACCUGGGUUCGAUUCUCAGCCAAUGCA